rnacentral:rRNA from 1 species
AAGUCCCCUCAAGCAAAAAGUUUUUUAGUUUGAAACCCCGAAACUUGACGAGCUACUCCAAGGCAGCCUAAUAAUAGGGCGAACCCGUCUCUGUGGCAAAAGAGUGGGAGGAACUUUGAGUAGAGGUGACAGACCUACCGAGUCAAGUUAUAGCUGGUUGCCUGGGAAAUAAAUAGAAGUUUAGCCUUUUACCUUCUCCUAUCAACUCUGGCCUGCCCUAAGCCCAGAAAGCGAGAAUGCUAAAAGAGUUAUUCGAAGGGGGUACAGCCCCUUUGAAAAAAGAUACAACUUUAGCAGGUGGAUUCCAAACAAAUUUUUAAAGGUGAAUAUUUUGGUGG